ensembl:misc_RNA Metazoa_SRP Metazoan signal recognition particle RNA
GCUGGGUGUGGUGGCGCACACCUGUAAUCCCAGCUACUUGGGAGGCUGAGAAAGGAGAAUCGCUUGAGCCCAGGAGGCAGAGGUUGCAGUGACCCGAGAUUGUGCCACUGCGCUCCAGCCUGGGCGACAGAGCAAGACUUUGUCUCAA